AUGAAAACACAAAAUUGUGAAAUGACUGGCUGCACAGACAGCUGUCUGGCUCAGCAUCCAUCUCACUCCAGUUUUGGUGGUCACACUGAGCCACACUCGGCAGGGCAGGAAAGCUUUCCCUGUUGCUCUGGGGCACAGCUCCAACCUUCCCGAGCCUCUCGUCUCUCUGCUCCUCAGCCUAGAGCAUGAAACUUGGUCCUCAGGUGCUCCUCCAGUGCAAACCCCCUUAAAAUGAAAUUCCCUUUGUGGAAAGCUUGUGGCACACGGGUGAUCCCGUUCUGCAUCUGUCUUGGUGGAGAAAGCCCCUGGCAGUGGAACAAGUGUCCCAGAGCCCCUGCCAACGCUAGAAGCAGGAACAGCAGCAGCUUCGUGGCACGCUGGGGCGGGAGUGGCUGCUGCCAGCAGAAAACCUCCCAGGAAAGAGGAGAAGAGGCAGCAGGAACAGAGAGGAGCGAUCAGCAGGGAAACGAUGCAGCUGCACCAUCCCAUAGAGCUGCUGGGGACCAGCUGGAUGUUCCUGGCAGAUGCCACGGUGUCAGGGAGUGCUGAGCAUCUACAGGAGGAGCUUUGGGUAUUGCAGGUGUACAAAGAUGCUUGUAAUGAAAUAUUUUCUCUUAU
rnacentral:lncRNA from 1 species